rnacentral:rRNA from 1 species
GUGCCUCCCUCGGGAACACCCUUGGUUUACCGACAACGUUGGGGCGGCCUGGCUUUUUUUUCUCCCGGCGACGUAAAACUCGCUCGGGCUAACAAGUGCCGGUCUAAACCAACGCAACAAAAAACCGGCGUGGAAUGCGCCAAGGAACAUGAAAGAGAGUGGGCUCUUCUGGUGUCAGUACUGCUGCGCCAGGACGGGCGUUGUCUUCUUGAUGAGUUUAUAAUGACUCUCGGCAACGGAUAUCUCGGCUCUUACAUCGAUGAAGAACGUAGCAAAAUGCGAUACUUGGUGUGAAUUGCAGAAUCCCGUGAACCAUCCAGUCUUUGAACGCAAGUUGCGCCCGAAUCCUUUUGGUCGAGGGCACGUCUGCCUGGGUGUCACGU